GGUUGACCUCGGAUCAGGUAGGGAUACCCGCUGAACUUAAGCAUAUCAAUAAGCGGAGGAAAAGAAACCAACCGGGAUUGCCUCAGUAACGGCGAGUGAAGCGGCAACAGCUCAAAUUUGAAAUCUGGUUCCUUUCAGGGCCCGAGUUGUAAUUUGUAGAGGAUGCUUCGGGUGACGGAUAGGCCUAAGUUCCUUGGAACAGGACGUCAUAGAGGGUGAGAAUCCCGUCUGCGGUCAACCCCCGACCCCAUGUGAAGCGCCUUCGACGAGUCGAGUUGUUUGGGAAUGCAGCUCUAAAUGGGUGGUAAAUUUCAUCUAAAGCUAAAUACCGGCCGGAGACCGAUAGCGCACAAGUAGAGUGAUCGAAAGAUGAAAAGCACUUUGGAAAGAGAGUCAAACAGUAUGUGAAAUUGUUGAAAGGGAAGCGCCUGCGACCAGACCUGUCUUCGGGUGAUCACCCGCCGUUCUCGGUGGUGCACUCGCCCGGCAGCAGGCCAGCAUCGGUUUUGGCGGUCGGAUAAAGGCUCCGGGAAUGUACCUGCCCUCAGGGGCCGACUUAUAGCCCGGGGUGCAAUGCGACCAGCCGGGACCGAGGACCGCGCUUCGGCUAGGAUGCUGGCGUAAUGGUCGUAGGCGGCCCGUCUUGAAACACGGACCAAGGAGUCUAUCAUCUAUGCAAGUGUUUGGGUGUCAAACCCAUACGCGUAAUGAAAGUGAACGGAGGUGGGAACCCUUCAGGGCGCACCAUCGACCGAUCCAGAUGUUUUCGGAUGGAUUUGAGUAUGAGCAUGGCCGAUAGGACCCGAAAGAUGGUGAACUACACAUGGAUAGGGUGAAGCCAGAGGAAACUCUGGUGGAGGCUCGCAGCGGUUCUGACGUGCAAAUCGAUCGUCAAAUCAGUGUGUAGGGGCGAAAGACUAAUCGAACCAUCUGGUAGCUGGUUUCGGCCGAAGUUUCCCUCAGGA
rnacentral:rRNA from 1 species